AUCGCUUCUCGGCCUUUUGGCUAAGAUCAAGUGUAGAAUUUGUAAAAAUUGGUGAGAAACAAUAAUAAUCAUGAGAAUGGCAUAUUUGUCUAGGAAUAAGCAAAUAUUUAUAAGCUGUAUCACUUUAACAAAAAAUGCAUGCAGGAA
ensembl:snRNA U2 U2 spliceosomal RNA